rnacentral:rRNA from 1 species
GACGAACGCUGGCGGCGUGCCUAAUACAUGCAAGUCGAACGCUUCUUUCCUCCCGAGUGCUUGCACUCAAUUGGAAAGAGGAGUGGCGGACGGGUGAGUAACACGUGGGUAACCUACCCAUCAGAGGGGGAUGACACUUGGAAACAGGUGCUAAUACCGCAUAACAGUUUAUGCCGCAUGGCAUAAGAGUGAAAGGCGCUUUCGGGUGUCGUUGAUGGAUGGACCCGCGGUGCAUUAGCUAGUUGGUGAGGUAACGGCUCACCAAGGCCACGAUGCAUAGCCGACCUGAGAGGGUGAUCAGCCACACUGGGACUGAGACACGGCCCAGACUCCUACGGGAGGCAGCAGUAGGGAAUCUUCGGCAAAGGACGAAAGUCUGACCGAGCAACGCCGCGUGAGUGAAGAAGGUUUUCGGAUCGUAAAACUCUGUUGUUAGAGAAGAACAAGGACGUUAGUAACUGAACGUCCCCUGACGGUAUCUAACCAGAAAGCCACGGCUAACUACGUG